rnacentral:rRNA from 1 species
CCUACGGGGGGCAGCAGUGGGGAAUAUUGGACAAUGGAGGGAACCCUGAUCCAGCCAUGCCGCGUGUGUGAAGAAGGCCCUCGGGUUGUAAAGCACUUUCAGUGAGGAAGAACGCCUGGUGGUUAAUACCCAUCAGGAAAGACAUCACUCACAGAAGAAGCACCGGCUAACUCCGUGCCAGCAGCCGCGGUAAUACGGAGGGUGCGAGCGUUAAUCGGAAUUACUGGGCGUAAAGCGCGCGUAGGUGGCUUGAUAAGCCGGUUGUGAAAGCCCCGGGCUCAACCUGGGAACGGCAUCCGGAACUGUCAAGCUAGAGUGCAGGAGAGGAAGGUAGAAUUCCCGGUGUAGCGGUGAAAUGCGUAGAGAUCGGGAGGAAUACCAGUGGCGAAGGCGGCCUUCUGGACUGACACUGACACUGAGGUGCGAAAGCGUGGGUAGCAAACAGGAUUAGAUACCCGAGUAGUC